rnacentral:rRNA from 1 species
AGUGAGCGCUGGCGGUAGGCCUAACACAUGCAAGUCGAACGGCAGCACAGUAAGAGCUUGCUCUUACGGGUGGCGAGUGGCGGACGGGUGAGGAAUACAUCGGAAUCUACUUUUUCGUGGGGGAUAACGUAGGGAAACUUACGCUAAUACCGCAUACGACCUACGGGUGAAAGCAGGGGAUCUUCGGACCUUGCGCGAUUGAAUGAGCCGAUGUCGGAUUAGCUAGUUGGCGGGGUAAAGGCCCACCAAGGCGACGAUCCGUAGCUGGUCUGAGAGGAUGAUCAGCCACACUGGAACUGAGACACGGUCCAGACUCCUACGGGAGGCAGCAGUGGGGAAUAUUGGACAAUGGGCGCAAGCCUGAUCCAGCCAUACCGCGUGGGUGAAGAAGGCCUUCGGGUUGUAAAGCCCUUUUGUUGGGAAAGAAAAGCAGCGGGUUAAUACCCCGCUGUUCUGACGGUACCCAAAGAAUAAGCACCGGCUAACUUCGUG